UGUAGGAAUAUUUUUAUUAGUACAUAUAAUAUCAAAUUUUGUAUUGAAUGAGUAAUUCAAAAGAGGCAGAAAAGAAAAGAAGUAGUUAUAGUAUAUCGAUCCGUUGAGGUAGUUGUUUAAUUAAAGCAGUGAUGUCCUAAGAAGCUUUAAACAAGGCGUGGGGAGCAUAUGGGACACAUCAUCAUCAUCAUUAUGUUAAAGUCAUUAAGCUCUUAUUCUCAUCAUUAUCAAUCUAUACCCCAAAUCCAUCAUUUCACCAAAACACACAAAAAAAAAAAAAAAAAAACAACCUCAUUCAAUAUUUCUAAACUGCUAUUUUAUAUUGGAACCCAGCAAGCAACUAUGGCCCAGAAUUAUUACGACAAGACUAACGCUUUUUUCAUACUUUCUUUUGUAAAUUCUUAUGUUGAUAUCAUUCCUUCUGGGAAAUCAAAUUUAUAAUUAAACACAAAAAAUACUCAGACUACCAAUUUUUCGAACAAUUUAAAGGAGCAGAAUAAAAUUCAGACUCUAGAGACUUUGAGACCGCUUGGAAACAUUUAGCAAUCGAUUUAACAUAACUAAGGAAAGACACGUACAAGCAUACGAACUACCAAAAAUUCAUUAUAUACUGAGAAGUGGGGCAUAAUCCAUGUCUGUGCAAUGUACCAAGUCUUCAAUUCAAUUAACUUAAGGAGGAAACUAAUAAUUCAUGCAAAUAAAUCUUAUAUAAUACCUCUUUCCUUCUGCUUUUCCCAACCGCACUUUCCUUUACACAAACAACUUCUUAGCUUUUCUAAAAUUAAUACUUCUUGCUUUUUUACUUUACAAAUUCUUCAAU
rnacentral:lncRNA from 1 species